UACGUAGGGUGCGAGCGUUGUCCGGAAUUACUGGGCGUAAAGGGCGCGUAGGCGGCCCGCUAAGUCGAACGUGAAAUCCCCGAGCUCAACUCGGGAACUGCGUCCGAUACUGGCGGGCUUGAAUCCGGGAGAGGGAUGCGGAAUUCCCGGUGUAGCGGUGAAAUGCGUAGAUAUCGGGGAGGAACACCUGUGGCGAAAGCGGCUCACUGGACCACAACUGACGCUGAGGCGCGAAAAGCUAGGGGAGCAAACAGG
rnacentral:rRNA from 1 species